rnacentral:rRNA from 1 species
CUACGUGCCAGCAGCCGCGGUAAUACGGAGGGUGCGAGCGUUAAUCGGAAUAACUGGGCGUAAAGGGCACGCAGGCGGUGACUUAAGUGAGGUGUGAAAUCCCCGGGCUCAACCUGGGAACUGCGUUCUGAACUGGGUGACUAGAGUGUGUCAGAGGGAGGUAGAAUUCCACGUGUAGCAGUGAAAUGCGUAGAGAUGUGGAGGAAUACCGAUGGCGAAGGCAGCCUCCUGGGAUAACACUGACGUUCAUGCCCGAAAGCGUGGGUAGCAAACAGGAUUAGAUACCCUGGUAGUCCACGCCCUAAACGAUGUCGAUUAGCUGUUGGGCAACUUGAUUGCUUGGUAGCGAAGCUAACGCGUGAAAUCGACCGCCUGGGGAGUACGGUCGCAAGAUUAAAACUCAAAGGAAUUGACGGGGACCCGCACAAGCGGUGGAUGAUGUGGAUUAAUUCGAUGCAACGCGAAGAACCUUACCUGGUCUUGACAU